rnacentral:rRNA from 1 species
UACAGAGGUUCCAAGCGUUGUUCGGAUUCACUGGGCGUAAAGGGUGCGUAGGUGGUCGGGUAAGUCUGAUGUGAAAGCUCCGGGCCCAACCCGGAAAUGUCAUUGGAUACUAUUCGGCUAGAGGGUUGGAGGGGGGACUGGAAUUCUCGGUGUAGCAGUGAAAUGCGUAGAUAUCGAGAGGAACACCCGUGGCGAAGGCAAGUCCCUGGAAAACUCCUGACACUGAGGCACGAAAGCUAGGGGAGCAAACAGG